rnacentral:rRNA from 1 species
UACAGAGACUGCAAGCGUUAUUCGGAUUCACUGGGCGUAAAGGGUGCGCAGGUGGCCAAGUGUGUCAGGUGUGAAAUCCCGGGGCUUAACUCCGGAACUGCGCCUGAAACUGCUUGGCUAGAGCAUUGGAGAGGGAAGUGGAAUUCACGGUGUAGCAGUGAAAUGCGUAGAUAUCGUGAGGAACACCAGAGGCGAAGGCGACUUCCUGGACAAUUGCUGACACUCAGGCACGAAAGCGUGGGUAGCCAAA